rnacentral:rRNA from 1 species
GAGAGAAGCUUGCUUCUCUUGAGAGCGGCGGACGGGUGAGUAAUGCCUAGGAAUCUGCCUGGUAGUGGGGGAUAACGUUCGGAAACGGACGCUAAUACCGCAUACGUCCUACGGGAGAAAGCAGGGGACCUUCGGGCCUUGCGCUAUCAGAUGAGCCUAGGUCGGAUUAGCUAGUUGGUGGGGUAAUGGCUCACCAAGGCGACGAUCCGUAACUGGUCUGAGAGGAUGAUCAGUCACACUGGAACUGAGACACGGUCCAGACUCCUACGGGAGGCAGCAGUGGGGAAUAUUGGACAAUGGGCGAAAGCCUGAUCCAGCCAUGCCGCGUGUGUGAAGAAGGUCUUCGGAUUGUAAAGCACUUUAAGUUGGGAGGAAGGGUUGUAGAUUAAUACUCUGCAAUUUUGACGUUACCGACAGAAUAAGCACCGGCUAACUCUGUGCCAGCAGCCGCGGUAAUACAGAGGGUGCAAGCGUUAAUCGGAAUUACUGGGCGUAAAGCGCGCGUAGGUGGUUUGUUAAGUUGGAUGUGAAAUCCCCGGGCUCAACCUGGGAACUGCAUUCAAAACUGACUGACUAGAGUAUGGUAGAGGGUGGUGGAAUUUCCUGUGUAGCGGUGAAAUGCGUAGAUAUAGGAAGGAACACCAGUGGCGAAGGCGACCACCUGGACUAAUACUGACACUGAGGUGCGAAAGCGUGGGGAGCAAACAGGAUUAGAUACCCUGGUAGUCCACGCCGUAAACGAUGUCAACUAGCCGUUGGAAGCCUUGAGCUUUUAGUGGCGCAGCUAACGCAUUAAGUUGACCGCCUGGGGAGUACGGCCGCAAGGUUAAAACUCAAAUG